rnacentral:rRNA from 1 species
GCUUGACUGUAGCCUGGAAUUGGGUUCGGGCUCUUCUUGCGCAGCCUAGGUGGGAGGCGUUGAAAGUUUCUUCGGGGAAAACUGGAGCCAACAGUGAGAGACCACUCUGGAGGAGCUAGAAUUCUAAUGGCGUUCCUUGAAGCAGGACGCCUUGACAGUUUCAGGUGGGCAGUUUGACUGGGGCGGUCACCUCCUAAAAGGUAACGGAGGUGUGCCAAAGGUUCCCUCGGGCUGGACGGAAAUCAGCCGUAGAGUGUAAAGGCAGAAGGGAGCUUGACUGCAAGACCUACAAAGUCGAGCAGGGCGAAAGCUGGCUUAGUGAUCCGACGGUUACCGUGUGGAAGGGCCGUCGCUCAACGGAUAAAAGUUA